GGCCUCCAUUAUGCACUUAGCAAUCUCACUUUCAAGAUUUCCCUUAUUUACUGAGAAGAAGCUGCAUUAAAUUAAUCUGCUUGGAAACAAAGUUUAAGUUUGACCCUAUUUAGGAGUAACUUAGAUUUCGAAGACACUAUGGAGGAUAUUUCUUACUUUGGCAUUAUACCAUAAAUCAGUAUAAAUGGCACAAGAACAUAAGGAAGAGCUCUUCAAUAGGUUUGCAGUGCAGGCUGAAUCUUUAUGAUGUCAGUAAAAACAGUAGUAUAUUAUGACUAGGCAUUCUAUUUCACUUCAUUGUUACGACUAAACUUCCUAUUUCUAUUGUGCCCUAAUAACGAUGUUCCUUCUAUUCCAUUUUAGCAUUCCUAUUCAUUUAGUCUAAUAAAUCCCUGCUUCUCUGCAGUACCACUGAUAUAGGAAAUGCUCCUUUCCAUUUCACAAAGACAAGAAAAAACGGAGACAAAGAGAAAUGCUUCUGAGGCCAGGGAAGGAGAAACAGCAGUCUGAGACCUCAAAUGGAUUUUUGUUGCUGAAGAAUAUGUUGUUUUAACAGCACAUAUCUAUAAAGAUUUUAAAGGACUUCAAAAAAGUUUAUUUUUGGCAAAUUUUUACUAUGAUUUAAACAAGGUGAGGAAAACAAAUAAUAUAUUCUGAUUUUCCAAAGUCUUUGCUUGUAUACUUGCCUUUAUACCAAUUCCAACCUUAGUAAAUUGUAUUGUGGUGAAACAACCAUGAAACUGAUAAUGUAAUUCUUUGCAGAGAAAAAUCAAUUUCUCUCUGAUACAGGACAUAGAAUUGCAGCAUUUGAAAAAUAAUUCUAACGCAGGGCCUAACCAUGACCAACAAGGUGAGGAGCAGUUCACACCACCUCUGGGCAAGCCCCAUCAGGGUGUGUUGCCUGAGCUCCCUGCUGAAGGUGACACACCAGCAAGAGCUGCCUUUCAGAAUUUGGAAAUUCAGCCAUUAUGGACAAAAGUAUCAAAGUUUAUGUCUGUCUUUAGUUUUUGCAUUUCAGUAGUUAAGAUUUCACUGAAAAUUCUUUGAGAUCUUCAGCACAUGGAAGAUUAGAAUCGGUAUCAUAAUGAGGAGUAAUUAAGGCCUUUCCUAGAUACCAGAAGGCAAUCAAAGAAAGCUCUUUUCUUUCUUUCAAGUCUCAUCUGGUGCUAUCAAGAUUAAAUGAAACACAACUCAUUAUUAAUGAGGUUUUUACUAUUGUACUAAAUUAAAAUUUAGUCUCUUAAAAUGCUUUCCUUUUGCCUUUCAUACACAAUUUCUGUCCGUACUUUGUCUGUUUUAGUGGAGUCAUAUGCCAUAUUUAGCCCAGACAAAUGCUUUUAGACUUUACUAAUUCCAAAACAUUGACAAGCAGACACACUAGUGUGUCUUCUCUAUGUAUUGUCAGCUUGAUUCAGAUGCCUGUAAAUUCAUCUAAGACUCUACUCUUGCAUGGAAGACAAAUGACUCCUUUCAAGGAAAUACCUAUCAGUGUUGCAAUCACUGCUGCUGCUUUUCCAUUAGGAUUAUUAAAAAUCUCAAACUUUAUUCUCCUAGAAGUGCAGAACAACUGCAUUUUAGUCAUUUCAGAUGCUGGAGUCCAGUUUAAGAGGGUGAUUUGUAGCACUAGGUAUUACAGUGAUUAAUGAGAUUUCAGUAGCUUUUCCAUGGCUUCCUGCCUAGAGAAAAAAAAAAAAAAGAGAGAAAAUUCAACAAACAAAAAGACCUACCCCAAACCCAUAAUGGCAGAUUAGUUGUGUGCUUGUAAAAUAUUAAUGGACUUCUAAAGGUUUCAUUUUUGAAUGAGAACCAUUUCAGCAAGAGCUUUAGAAGAUGCAGAGAACAUUCAAGGAACUUGUGAACAUUCCUUAUGUUCUGCUUUAUAAAGUCUGUUAGGCACACCUGAUUACCAAGCAUUUAAACGAUCCAAAUAAAAUGCCAUUUCUGUAAUACUUUUAUAUUUUCGCUUUUUUUUUUCAAGUGUAUAUUAAGUACACAUCUGAAGAAAUAAUAUUGUACUCCUUUAUUUUAGAUUUAGGUAGCAGUCAAAAGAGAUUAAAUGCUGUUGUGUGUAACGAAGCAUGAAGAUGACAAGAUAUAUGAACCAGAGGCUUUUCAGUUCAAUCACAUCAUCCAGGACAUAAUUAUACAGAUUUUGUAUUUCAGACACCAAUGUCACCUUGGGGUUGAAAUCAUUCUAGAUGAAUCUGUGUGAGUAUAAAUAAGAUAGUUCCCCACACCCCAGUUACCUUCCUGUUUUAAAAAUAGAAAGGAAUAUGAGUUGUCCUGGGUUUAGAGAUGAGUUAUUUGUGUGUGAUAUUUGUGAUGGAAAAUUUUUUCUAAAAUACAGUAACAAAUGGUCUUCUUUUUUCCUCUCUUAUUUUAAGGGGAUAGACUGCUUCUAGUGUCAGAGUACUAGACUAGACUGAUCCUGGUCUCUUGUAGGGCAUUUGACUAACAGGUACAGAACUAUUGAUUAGAGUCAUUAAUUGUACCAAGAAAAAUAUUUUUCUGUAGUUUUUCUAUUAAAUUUCUUUAAAGCUACAUGCAGAAUGUUACUUCCCAUGUUGUAUUUUAGUUUUUGCAGCGCUAGUAUGGAUGAUAUGCUGAUGGACUUUUGAAAUCCUAAAAAACAUGAAUCUGACAGGGAGCCUAGAUGGAACUUCAAAAAAUUUUAUAUAUAAUUUAACUACUAUUACAAAAAUUUUAUAAAUGCUGAAUAAGGAUGUCAAUAAAUGUAUGACCCUCUAUUAAUUUAGUUCCUUCGUUACAGAAAGACAAAAUUUAUUAGUAGUGUUCUGCUAAAGCCAGAGGAGGGCAGACUUGAAUUGGAAACUUUUGCUACUGCAGGGCUUUCUCAGUUGACAGAAAUCUGUUGGAGCGUGUCCAGAGGAAGCCAUGAAGAUAAUUGGAGGGAUAGAACCAUCUCUUACAAGGAAAUAUUGAGAAAAUUGGGAUUGUUCAGCCUAGAGAAGAGCAGGCUUCAUGGUGACCUAAUUGUGGCUUUUCAGCACUUGAAGGGAGCCUACAGGAAAGAUGGAGAGGGCUUACUACAGGAGCAUGUAGUGACAGGACAAGAGGAAAUGGAUUCAAACUGACCAAGUGGGCUUACAUUAGGUAUUAGGAAAAAAAUUCUUUGCUGUGAUGGUGGUGAGACACUGGAACAGGUUGCCCAGAAAAGUGGUGGAUGCCCCAUCCCUGGAAGUGUUUAAGGCCAGGUUGGACAGGGCUCUGAGUAACCUGGUCCAGUGAAAAGUGUCUCUGCCCAUGGCAGGGGAGUUGGAAUGAGAUGGUCUUUAAGGUCCCUUCCUACCCAGGCAAUUCUAUGAUUCUAUGAUACAUUAUUUGUAUAUAAAUGUAUAUGUAUAUAAAUAUACACAGAACUGCAGGUUUAUCAGAAUUAAUUGAAAAUUAGCCAGCUUGGAUAUCAAUACCAGCACCAUUUCUGAGGAUAUAUGUAUAGACACAUAUAGCAAAGUUCAGCUGCAGCUUGGAAAUCCUCAGUGUUUCAGCUACCUAGAACUACCUGUGCAAAUACUUGACAUUAGAAAAUUAGGAGCGCUUUGAUUGGAGCAAUUAGGUUGAUACGUAGGAGUUCUAUAGUAGAGACAGGAACAGAUAGUCCUGAUUUUUCUCACUCCAAUUUCCACAACAAAUGUAAACGAAAAAUGUUUUCAUGCACUUCUGUACAACUGUGGUGAGUGCUGUACCAGAGUCCAGUCCAAGCUCUGAAAAAGACAGAAAGUGUGUGAUUACAAAAAUAUUCACAGACCCUUGCUCUGUUUGCAUGCUAGAUCAUGAGCAAGGAUUCUGCAUUAAGAUUGUACAUAGGACAGUGUGUGGCAUCUCCUGCUGCAUUCUUCUCCUGUGGCAUCUUAACCACAUUUAACUUCUAUUUUUAUUAGACCCCAGUGCUAAGGGGAAAAAAAUGCAAGUUCUAGCUUGUGCAAAAUUUGAUUUGUUUCCAACUCUAAUAAAUCCAGCCUUGCAACUUCCAGUCCUCUCAGGUGUCCAAAUACCCAUCCCUAGAAGACAUUCCUGUGCAUUAGAACUCAUAGAGUGAACUGCUGGAUCAAAGACUGUAAAGUUCUGUUCUCUCUAAGAUGCUUUAUCAUAAGGUACUGUAAUUUCACUGUGCUGUGCUACAUUUCAAAGUGUCUAAUGCUGUCAUGUAGCUGAACACCUGACACUGCUAACUCCAUACCCAGCACUGGUCAGCACUAGGAAACCUUAGCUUCAAGAUUUAAGGUAGAGUCAGCAUUUUACCACCUGUCAGUAAUAAUCUAUAACUUCGACUGCUGGGAACAAGUGAAAAGAUAUAAACCAGGAGUGGUUGGGUUUUCACCUACUAACAGUAAAUCUAGAGCAGUAACUUCAUGACAUCAGUGGGAGCAGUGUGUUCAAAUCUUCCAGCACAUCAUGGGAAAUACAGACUAUCAGUUUUCCAUUACUAUUUUGGCAGGCAUAAUUUUGUUAUUUUAAAAGCUGUUUGUACUGGCCACCUCAGUGCUUUCAUUAUUUCACACAUAUUUCAGCAUUUCAAGAAGUCUGUGGUUCAGCAAAUAUAGGGGAUAUAGUGUGUGUGUCCCCAAAUUUUAGUUUCUUUCACCAAGUAUGAUAUAUUACAUUUACAAGCUUCAUUUACAUUUCAACAGAGCAUUCAUCUGUGUGCUGUCAAAGAUUGGGGGAGGGGGGGUCAUUAAAUUAGAUAUUUUAGAGAGAUUAUGAAUUCUAAUAAAAGGGCAUCAGGAGUUGUAGUGAUCUGUAACAGCAAAACAAAAGAUGAUGGGAAUUUAGAAGGAAUGAAACUGUGUGAAAGCACCACUAGGUGCAGCAGAACAGAUAGUUAAAAGGAUGGACACUUGUUAACACAGAAAACUAUUCCCAGCAGAAAAGUUAAGGAAUUGCUCUGUUUAUGUCAAGGCCAGGAACCUGCACUUUGAAAACAGCCACAACACAGAUGACCUGUCAGCAAAAGGCUCAGGAUCGUGAUCCCAGGAGGAUGGUACCAAGGCUGCAGCAUCAGAUACGCCUUGCCUUUCCUGUUAUCCUGCCUGGAAAACACACGUGUUGAAAACAGGGAAAAACAGGCAAUGGGCAGCAUCCUGGCCUAUCAUUUGUGGAGGACAUAGCAAACAGGAUUCUGAGGUAAAAGAUACCAGCUGGUGCCUCCUAAGGGAAAUGACACAUCUGUCCAGAAACCACUUUGUUGUCCCUAGUCAAGGGCAUGUGAGGGUGUGGCAGCAGCAUCCCCAUUCCUUUGUGUCAAGCUCAAGGGAUCCUGGCCAGGCCACUGGGACUCUGUGAGUUGGUUAUCAAGAAUAUACAAGUGUCAGAAUGUCAGAGAAUUAACACUACAGCAGAAUGAGUGUGCGUGCAUAAAAUCAACUUGCUUAAAAGAUUUUAUAAAUAAAUAAGAUUUAACCCUUUCAUAAGAUCUCAGACUGAACUUUCUCACAAU